UUGGACCUGAUAUCAGGCAAGAUUACCCGCUGAACUUAAGCAUU
rnacentral:rRNA from 2 species